UGACGAAGUACUUCGGUAUGUAAAGUUCUUUUAUCAGGGAAGAAUGUCAUGUGGAAAAGCAUGAGUGACGGUACCUGAUGAAUAAGCCCCGGCUAACUAUGUGCCAGCAGCCGCGGUAAUACAUAGGGGGCAAGCGUUAUCCGGAAUUAUUGGGCGUAAAGGGUGCGUAGGCGGUCAUUUAAGUCUUUGGUGUAAGUGCAGUGCUCGACGCUGUGAUGCUAAAGAAACUGGAUGACUUGAGUGUGGUAGA
rnacentral:rRNA from 2 species